CGUCUGCCCAACAUCCUUUUUUGAGAUCGAGGCGUUUUUUCAAACCGUCAAUUAUGAUUUUGUUGGUCGCCUCGGCUUGGCCGUUGCUCUGGGGGUAUCGCGGACUUGACGUGUUGAGUCGGAUUCUCCAUCUCUCGCAGAAUUCUCGAAAUUUAUUUGAUAUGAAUUGGGAGCCGUUGUCGGUCACUAUCUCGUAAGGUAGGCCGUGGCGACAGAUGAUGUUCUUCCACACAAAUCGUUGGACUUCCUUCUCUGUGAUGCUCGCGAAAGCUUCUGCCUCAAUCCACUUCGUGAAGUAAUCUGUCAAGACUAGGACGAAGCGUUUCUGUCGAGAGCUCGGCAUCGGGCCGAUUAUGUCCAUUCCCCAUCGCAUGAAAGGGUAAGGAGCUGUCAUUGUUCGCAGCAACUGUGUCGGGGAGUGGAUCGUCGAGGCGUGUCGCUGGCACUGGUCACAUCGCUGGGCGUAAGCUUCGCAGUCUGCGUUCAUCGUUGGCCAGUAGAAACCGAGACUCUUUACUUUUAAAGCAAGUGCUCGACCUCCAGAAUGAUUUCCUGCAGCGCCUUCGUGCGUUUCAGCCAUGACUAAAUGCGUCUCUUCGCCAUUGAUGCACUUCAGAAGUACCUUGGUUGCGGUCCAUCGGUGGAGCUCUCCGUCGAGGACGACAUAAUGAGCACUCCGCGUCUUGAGUCGUCUUGCAAUCCAUUUCUCGGGAGGUAGCUUUCCAUCGACCAAAUAGUCGAUAAAUUCUGUUCUCCAAUCAUUGGUGUCGUUUGACACCUCUUCGAAGACUUGGUUCGCGGGUACGGCUUCGGUUAUUGGUGCUACGAUGGCGGUCUCGAUGGGGGUCAGAUCGAUGCUUGGUUUGUCGAUCUUGUGAAUAGGGAUGGUACGUUUCACCUGAUCGCGCAACCUGCUUCCUAAGGCAGCGAGAGCAUCAGCGCAUACGUUCUCACCUCUGGGGACUUUGGUGAGCUCGAAGAAUUCGAAAUCUUUGGCGAGUGUUUGAACGAUCUUUAGGUACGCGUCCAUUCGUUCGUUGCGGGCAUCGUAGUCACCACUAAACUGACUAGUUACGAGUUGCGAAUCGCAGUAUGCGCUGAGGUGUUUUGCCUUGACUGCCUUGGCGAGUCGUAGUCCUGCGAUCAACGAUUCAUACUCUGCUUCGUUGUUUGAAGCGGCGAAGCCGAAGCUGAACGACUGUCUGAUCAGUUCUCCUGUCGGAGAUUGUAACUGUACUCCUGCUCCUGAUCCUUUGUUUGUCGACGACCCGUCGACGUGAAGUAUCCAAUUUUGACUUGGGAGGAUUAGAUCUUGCUCGAGCUCUGGUGCGAGCUCGAUGAGAAAGUCUGCGAGGACUUGAGAUUUUGCAGCUGUUCGAUUCUUGAAGACAAUGUCGUGCUCGCUGAGUUCGAUAGCCCACUUCGAUAACCGUCCGGAUUGAUUUGUAUUCUGCAUUACCGUUCGCAAUGGUUGAUUUGUCAACACUUCGAUUGUGUGCGACUGAAAGUAGGGACGCAGUUUUCUUGCCGAUGUUACAACGGCAAGAGCCAUCUUCUCAAGGGUGGGAUAUCGAGUCUCUGGAUCAGUCAUGCGCUUGCUCGUGUAGAAGAUAGGCUUCUGUUCUCCUCGAUCCUCUCGGAUGAGGACGCUGCUGACCGCGGUUGAGGAUACGGCGAUAUAGAGUGAGAGUGUAUCGCCAGUUUCAUGUUUGGAUAAUACGGGAGGAGUUGUAAGAUACUCCUUGAGUUGUUUGAACUCCUCUUCGCACUUCUCGUCCCAGAUGAAGCGUUUGUUUCCUCGCAACAACUCGUAGAAAGGAAGGCAUUUGUCCGUGGAUCUGGAAAUGAAACGGUUCAGCGCAGCGAUCCUUCCUGUAAGUCGCUGGACUUCUCUGCUGGUUUUUGGGCUGGGAAGAUCAAGUAUGGCAGAGAUCUAUUUAGGAUUUGCCUCGAUUCCUCGCUGGGUGACGAUGUACCCUAAAAACUCUCCUGAGGUGACUCCGAAAGUACACUUGGCUGGGUUGAGUUUCAUACCGUAUUCGUUCAACGUCUUGAAGCAUUCUUUAAGAUGACCCAGAUGGUCCGUUGCGCGGAGUGAUUUUACCAGCAUGUCGUCGAUGUAGACUUCCACCGUGUUCCCUAAUUUGUCGGCGAACAUUCGAUUGACGAGUCUUUGAUAAGCCGCACCCGCGUUCUUGAGACCGAACGGCAUUACUUUGUAACAGUACGUCCCUCUAUCGGUGAUGAACGUCGUCUUUUCUUGAUCAUCCGGAUGCAUCAUGAUCUGAUUGUAACCAGAAAAUGCAUCCAUGAAAGUCAGGAGUUCAUUCCCAGCAGUCGACUCGACGAGUCUGUCUGUCUCGAGUCGGUAAACUUCUGGUUUGACGUCUUGAGAAAUUUUGUACGGCCCUUCCCAGUUAGUUCCGAGCUUUCCUGCAUUCAGCUCCUUGGUGUUUUCGAACACUUUGCGUAGUACUAUGUCGCCCAGUUCGAGAGGUCGAGACUUGACCUUCUUGUUGUAGUAACCUUCGAUCUGAUGCUGAUAGUUCUGGAUGCGGAGUAGUGCUUGGUCGCGGCGUUCUUCUAUAGCGUCCAGGGCGUCGAAGAGCAUACCGCUUGGGAUGUGAUGGCGGGGUUUAUUCCUUUCAUAUCUGAUGUCGCCCAAGCAAACGUUGAAGCGUUCUCCUUGAGAAAUUCGAUGAUUUGCGUUGCAUCUCUUCGUUGAGGAAGGCUCCGACUCGGACUACUUUGCUCUUAUCAGAGUCGUCGAUGGUGACUUCUAAAAUCUUGUCUUUCUGAGGUUGAAUUUGCUUUGCUAUCGCGUUGAUGCGAGGAGUUGAUUGUUGCAUUUUCACCGUUGCGAUGAGUAGUUCGCGAGCGGCCUGCUGGUCUCCGCGAAGCGUCUGCACUUCACCGUUUGGUCCUGGAAACUUCACGCACUGAUGAUAUGUCGAAGACACUGCCUUAACAGAAUGUAACCAGGGGGUUCCGAGGAUCGCGUUGUAAGGAGCUUUCGUUCGGAUGACUGAGAAUUUGACCGUGCGUAUCACUCCGCAUGCAUAGACGGGGAGUUUGAUUGUACCGAUCAUUGUCUCAGAGGCACCGUUGAAUCCUGUAAGGGAGCGAGAUGAUGGUUUCAUGUCGCGCAGGUCGACUGCCAUCUUAUCGAGCGUAUCUCGAAAGAUUAAAUCGACUGAACUGCCUGUGUCAAUCAACACUUUAGCGACGUCACACUUCGCAAUUCCUACCUCGACUAGCAGUGGGUCGUUGUGAGGUAAAUGGACCCCGAUGGCAUCGUCUGGCGAGAAAGUGAUUGAGGAAUCGUUAUCGGGUUUCGAUGGCCAUUUCUUCGAGGUUACUGCCUGUCGUCGAUGGUCCUUUACAGACCGGACGGAAUCACCGCAAGGAGGUGAGCCACCCAUGAUUACGUUUAGGAAGUUAGACUCGACGACUCGUUUAUUUCUCAGUCGAGUCCUCAAGUCGCUAGGCGAGUCUUCGAUGACAGGUGAAUUUUUGACGUUGGGCGAGUCCUCGACAACGGGUGAGUCCUCGACAACAGAUUUGUGUCCGUCCUCAUUCUUAGACGUCGCCUCCUCGAUUCUUCGUCGUAAGUCUGAAUGUUUUGGUCGGUUGAGCUUGAUUCUGAGGUCUUCCGACUUUGAGUUGAGCUUCUCACGAAGAUCGAUGACUCGUAGCCUGAGACGGGAUCGAGCACUCGAGUCCUCGAUUUUCCUGGCCUUGGAUUUUUUGAUGAUUGAGCGGAGAUCUCCGUGUGAGUCGUAUGCACGAUCAGAUGUCUGCGACUUUCGCCUGAGCUUGUUUCUUAAGUCGUUUGACUCUUCUGAUCCUAUGCUCUCGUUUGUUCGUUUGCUGGAAUACUCGCGUGAGUCAUGGACCUGUUUAUCCUCUUCUUCAUCUGAGGAGGAACUGGGUCGUGCGAGGAUGACUUGUACACGUCGACGAUUACGCGGUUGCUCCUCGUCGACUUGUGCAUCGCCGUCUUCUUCUUCAUUCUCUUCUGGCUUGUCAUCCUCAGUAUGCUUCGGCCGGUUUCUAGACUUAUCCUGAUUCUUGUGAGUUUUCUUUUCUUUGUUUUUGCUCCAGCUCUUGGUGCCGUUGGGCCUAGGCUUAGGGAGUUCGACGUUUGACGUUCCCUUUUCGUACGACGAGAAGAGGGCGUCUAACAAAUGCCUGCAGUUCCUUGUAUCAUGUGCCUUAGACUUGUGGAAGCUACACCACAUGUCAUCCGUGUAGGACGGCGCACUGGCAGCGUUUCUACUUUUACGUCAAGUCUGACGGUUUUGCCUUCGAGGAGCCGCCCGACGUUUCCUUUCAGUUUUUGUGGAAUCAUAAACUCGGUAGAACGCUGUUGUCAGCUCAUCGACUGUCUUUUUUCCUUGUUUUCUGACGAGUUUUCGUUUAUUUGCAGUUGAUCACCCGGACACGGCCUCUUAUCCGGAAGAUUUCGUCUCUGAUGCUCGUGCAGUCGUUUCGCGCGUCCAAGUGAGCUGGAAGGAUAUCACCAUCGAGAGGAUUCGACGAGUGCUUGACAGAAUCUCGAGGAGUAAGUUUCCUCUUGCGAUCACAUGUUUUCUUCCAACUCAUGCCAGUUCCGAGAUUUAUCUGAACCAGCUUGCUGAUCUUUUUCAGAGGAUUGGAGGUCUGAUCUACUUCCUUUGAUUACUGGUAACAAGCGGCGGUUUUCGAUAUUCAGUAGCGCCGAGUAAAAGAUCAUCAACGCGGCCAGGGAAAUGAAAGAGCUUCCAGACUUAGUAGAAACCGAGACUCUUUACUUUUAAAGCAAGUGCUUGACCUCCAGAAUGAUUUCCUGCAGCGCCUUCAUGCGUUUCAGCCAUGACUAAAUGCGUCUCUUCGCCAUUGAUGCACUUCAGAAGUACCUUGGUUGCGGUCCAUCGGUGGAGUUCUCCGUCGAGGACGACAUAAUGAGCACUCCGCGUCUUGAGUCGUCUUGCAAUCCAUUUCUCGGGAGGUAGCUUUCCAUCGACCAAAUAGUCGAUAAAUUCUGUUCUCCAAUCAUUGGUGUCGUUUGACACCUCUUCGAAGACUUGGUUCGCGGGUACGGCUUCGGUUAUUGGUGCUACGAUGGCGGUCUCGAUGGGGG
rnacentral:lncRNA from 1 species